UACGUAGGGUGCAAGCGUUGUCCGGAAUUAUUGGGCGUAAAGAGCUCGUAGGCGGUCUGUCACGUCGGAUGUGAAAACUCGGGGCUCAACCCCGAGCCUGCAUACGAUACGGGCAGACUUGAGUUCGGCAGGGGAGACUGGAAUUCCUGGUGUAGCGGUGAAAUGCGCAGAUAUCAGGAGGAACACCGGUGGCGAAGGCGGGUCUCUGGGCCGAUACUGACGCUGAGACGCGAAAGCGUGGGGAGCGAACAGG
rnacentral:rRNA from 1 species